GGGUGAAUUAUCAGACUGUGUGGUGACACAGGAGCCAUCGUUCUCAGUGUCCCCUGGAGGGACAGUCACACUCACCUGUGGCCUGAGCUCUGGCUCAGUCUCUACCAGUCACUACCCGAGCUGGUACCAGCAGACCCCAGGCCAGGCUCCACGAAUGCUCAUCUACAGCACAAACAAUCGCCCUUCUGGGGUCCCUGAUCGCUUCUCUGGGUUCAUCCUUGGGAACAAGGCUACCCUCACCAUCACAGGGGCUCAGGCAGAUGAUGAAUCUGACUAUUACUAUAGGCUGUACAUGAGUAGUGGCAUUUCCAACCUAUGAGGAAGCGCGACUAAAACCUCUUUACAUACUCAGAACAGUUCAGCCCUUAGAGAGGAGGGAAAGGGAGAGGGUGGAAAUGGUCAAUGCCACCAGCAAGGAGUCCCCUUGCCCCAGUCUCUUAUGCCGGGGUUCACUGCCAGGUGCUUCAUCCAGUCUCUCCUUGGGUGUGUCCACCUCCCCAGUGUGACUUUUCCAUGACUGUGCUUCCUCUCUCCCUCUCUACCUAGAAUAAUGUGGAGGGAGAAUUAGCUACAAAAUAUAUAAGCUCACAGUGAGUCACAGAGACCCCAGUGCUCCAGUAAGACACUUCUUAUUCAGAGAGAAUUAACAGGUACAUGCUCAUUCAUUAAUUUGACCAUGGAGGCUGACUUAAUAUUUUAUUUAUCAAUGAACUGGAAGCAUUUUCAGGGGGCUUGUUAAAAAAUGCAAUUCUCGGUUGGGUGCAGUGGCUCACACUUGUAAUCCCAGCACUUUGGGAGGCUGAGGCGAGUGGAUCACGA